GCGCCACCCCUUCCCUCGGGCGGGGCAGACACCGAGGCCCUCCGAAGUCCUGACCCAAGCGGCAGCUCUGGCGUGCGGGCUUGGACCGCGCGCCUCAGGGAGCAGAAACCGCUAGCGGUCGGGCGGAGAGAGCAACGCGGGGAAGCCCAGGUGGCGGCUUCCCUCACGCCCGCACCCCUCACCCGGCACCCCGCGGACGCAGUCGGCGGCGGCCGGCAGCGCCCCUCAGCGGCCGGCCGCGCCCUUCCCGCCUCCGGAAGUGACGCGCAGCUGCUUCGGCGUCCGGGAGGGGCCCCUGACGCAGCCGUGGGGGGCUCGAGAGAGGCGGCGGCCGCGGAGCGACUGGCAGGCUCAGCCGCGGCGAGGAACGCCCAGAGCGCGCGCGCCCGGCGGGUAGCGGCCCUCACGACCCGCGCCGCCGCCGCGUGCGGGGGCGGGGAGGGCGGGGCGCGACAAGCCGCGGCGGCGGCGGCGGCGGGAGAUGCGGGCGGCUGCGGGCACCCGGCGGGCUCGGCUCGGCCGCCGGCGCCUUCUCCGGCUCCGCCGCGAGGGUCGCAGCGGCUGCCGCGCCGUCCUCGAGUUCCCGGCGUGAGGAGAGGAGCGUCUUGUUGGAGGCGGAGACCCGGAGGGAGCCCCGCGCGUGGCCUCGCUGAAGAAAUCGUUGAAUUUCAUAUCAAUGGCACACUUUUAGGAACUCAAAUGAAGAGGUUCAGCUUAUGUGCCCAGUGGUUCACCGCCUUUUCAAUCAAAGAAUAAACAUAUCAAAGUUGAAUGAGUAAAAUAUUCCUUUAAAGUACCUGCUGAGGAUGUCCAUUUUACGUCUUCGUUAGUUUUUCCCAAUAGAAGAAAAAUUUUUUCCAGUACUUCAGUCCAAAACCACAGUGCCCAUUUUCUUUCACAAUAAUUUUCUAUCCUAGACAUACUGUCAAGUACUACAGAAGCUUCAGCGUUUUCCACACAGUUAGGUUCUGCCGUGCAGUAUCCAACAGCUCCACCAGGAUUUGGCUCAGUCCACAGUUGAGUUCAGUUCAGUCGCUCAGUCGUGUCUAACUCUUUGCAACCCCAUGGACUGCAGCAUGCCAGGCUUCCCUGUCCAUCACCAACUCCCGAACUUACUCAAGCUCAAUCCACACUCUCCCCUAAUAACCGAAGGGAGAGGUGGAAAUUAAACCCGCACCACCUUGGGAACACUUCCCAUUUGCUCAGGAUGACUCUGUGAUUGUUGCGGAAAUAUUCACUGUUAUUUCUGUCGUUUUGUACGUAUUGCUUAGCCAUUAUAAACCUGUAGGGCUCAAGCAUUAUCUGCAAGAUAGGCAUAAAACUCUAGGAUUUGGUUUGGGGAAUUUUUCCAAAAACAAAGGAAAUUAUAGGCACCAAACCUGUAAUAGUCUUGAUAUUCCAGUUCUCUGCUUGUCUGUCCUUUCCCUCCUCCCCUCCUCCUAGCUUCGGCAUUGUCACCAUCAUCGUCUGUCUCACACAUACACUGCUGUAAGCAUUCUUAACAUGAAGAUGGUGUUUGGAAAUGUAAAGACUUGGGUUCUUUGGUUAAGCUGAAAUUUACUAGGGAAUAGUUGUAACAGAUUUAGACUAACAAAUUGUUUAAGUGGGAAAUAUAUAUAGUUUAAAAGUAACUUACCAUGACAGUCACCAUUAGAAGAAAAGCCUCUCUGGUAAAUUAAGAGAAAUGACAGGGGACCCCUCCCCCCCAACUAUACUUGAUGGAUAUAGUAUAAAACCACUGUUUUAAUCCAGCUUA
ensembl:lncRNA